AAUUGCUGAUUUCAGAUAGAUGCAAUAGAAUAAGUGAAAGUAAUUUCACUUAAUUGCCUCUGCUCUCCCAAAGACAAAGUGACCCAUGUUAGAAAUGGCAGAACUCCAUCGUGGAAUCCAUUCCUGGCAUAAUACUGAUGGCAAAAACCACAGAGUAGAAAUUCCCCUAGACUGGUAACCUCAUCAGCUCUUUCUUCCUUUUGACAUUGGCAAAAGCCUGUAGUCUGGAUGGGAGCUCUAAUUGCUCUCCAUAAGGUUCCAGCACCUGUUUCCAGGGUCCAGUGGUCAGAUGAACAGACUGAAUGCCAAAAGUUGCAUUUGCUAUUUCCAUAUUUUCUCACCCCCAGAACCCCAUCACAAAUAUGCUAUAGGCUUUUGACUUGCUGACACCCUAGAAUGGGAGAUGCACUGAGAGGCAGCCAGGAUGAAACCUCCUCUUUCACUGGGAACUCCAAGUGUCAAUGAAGCUGAGGGGAAUGAACAUCUUGGCAUCUUCUGCUGAGUUCUCAUGCCAGGCUGUUGAUGUGUUGUAAAUAUGUGACUUCUUUUUGUAGGACUGUAUUUCCUAGAGCACAUGUUCCCAAGUAAGCCCUAUCCAGCUGCAUAGCCUGUGACUUUAAUAAUUCUCAAAGCCUUUUCCUGGUUUUGUGUUGCUGACUCAAUAGCAAAGGAUCAAUUUAUAUUAAAGGCCAAAUAUUAAAAAUUCUAGGGAGGACUCUGGAGUAUCUAUUUUGAAUUUAAUUGAAAUCAGUGUAAUGUUGUUCACAGAUGAAAAACAGAACAGGUAUAUUUUGCAGGCUUGUAAUUAUAACUCUGUAUCGUGAAAUGAAACCCAGCAGGGAGGAAAGUAAAACAUUGAUUUUUUUUUUCCAGGACGCCAUGUCUCUGUGCACUAAAGAAUGCUUCCCAAUGUCAUCAGUGUCGCAUAUUAGAGCACCUGUGAGCCUCUUGCCUUUUGAAGUACCCAGGAGGGAAAGAUGAUGCUUUUAUUGUCACCCCAUAUCCCAAACUCUUGAGAAAGUCUUCAUAGCUAAUAGAGAUGAUCCCAACAUACAAAUGGGUUGUAUUCCAAAUGUGCAUUUUUGGUUGUUCUUUCUUUUUUGUUUUGUUUUGUUUUUUUAGGGCCACACCCAUGGCACAUGGAAGUUCCCAGGCUAGAGGUCCAAUCAGAGCUAUGGCUGCCAGCCUAGCCACAGCCACAGCAAUAGCGGAUCCUUUAAUUCACUGAUCAAGGCCAGGGAUUGAACCUGCAUCCUCGUGGAUACUAGUUAGGCUCAUUAGCACUGAGCCAUGACCGGAACUCCUCGGUUGUUCUUUCUUUAUACCCUGGAACAUAUUUUCCCACAGAAAUAAGAUUCUCCUUGGUGAUUAAAUUACAAUACAAGGUAUACAGAAAAGUGUUUCAUCUACGAUAUGCUGAAAUGAAGUAUGGACCCACCAAGCACCAGUCAUGUGUUGAGUUCUGAAGACCCACAAAUAAAUUCCCUCAAGGAAUUAAUAUUAUUGUGAAAAAUAUAAACAAUUAUUGAAAGCAGGAUUCAAUAUGGUGGGAUAGGUGCUGUAAAGAAGACAUGCAAAUGUGCUCUGGGAAUCCAAAGGAGGAGCAACUAGAUCUAGUUUUGAAAGAAUCUGAAGCUGAGAAAUGCAAAAACACAGCAUUUUUUGAAAAGUGCAAAAAAAAAAAAAUGCAUGAGGAGAGACGAAUGAGUUUGGAAGGCAGGCAAGAGAGGAGAUGCAUAAGGAGACAGGGUACCAGAGGAAGGAGCUUUGAUGGUUUAUCCUGGUGGUAAUGAGAAACCAUUGAAAGAGUGUCUCCAAAGGAUUGGCAUGAUCAGAUUUUUAUUUUAGAAAAAUCACACUGAGAAUGAAGAUUAGAUCUGGGAAAAGUGAAAGAGGAGACUAGGAGAUAAUUUCAAAGUUUUGCUAGGCUAGUAUAAUGAGUUGUAAAGUAUUUCCUGUGUUCAUAAAUGCAGGAGUAGUAUGAUAAAUUUGGGUUAUUUUUCUAUUUUUUCUACAGUUUUAUUUGAGCCUGGUAUUUGUAUGUGUGUGGAGGAGAGAUUUGAAUCUAUCAGAUAAAUUUCUAAAAUGAUUAUAGGGAGUUCCCUGGUGGCCUAGCAGUUAGGGACUCCCCCUUAUCACUAUUGUGGCUAGGGUUGCUGCUGUGGCUCAGGUUUGCUCCCUGGCAUGGGAACUUACAUAUGCCACAGGCACAGCCAAAAAUAAAA
rnacentral:lncRNA from 1 species